UGAGGGAAUAUUGGUCAAUGGGCGAGAGCCUGAACCAGCCAAGUAGCGUGCAGGAUGACGGCCCUAUGGGUUGUAAACUGCUUUUAUAAGGGAAUAAAGUGGGGCUCGUGAGCUCUUUUGCAUGUACCUUAUGAAUAAGGACCGGCUAAUUCCGUGCCAGCAGCCGCGGUAAUACGGAAGGUCCGGGCGUUAUCCGGAUUUAUUGGGUUUAAAGGGAGCGUAGGCCGUCGUUUAAGCGUGUUGUGAAAUGCCGCGGCUCAACCGUGGCACUGCAGCGCGAACUGGAUGACUUGAGUUCGCGGGAGGUAGGCGGAAUUCGUGGUGUAGCGGUGAAAUGCUUAGAUAUCACGAAG
rnacentral:rRNA from 1 species